GGUCCUGUAGCUCAGUUGGUCAGAGCGACGGUCUAAUAUGCCGUCGGUCGUGGGUUCAAGCCCCACCGGGACCA